UACCAAAUUUUUGUGAUUUUUUUUUUUUUUUUUUUUGAUUACUCACAGGGUCUGAUUUUCUCUGAAUUUUUUUGGGGAGGGACCCCAGCAGACCCAUGGCCAGCUGGAACACCCCCUACCACAUCCCCUGCCCCAUGGAUUUGGGGGCAACCACAUGCUGCAAAGUGGCAUAGGCCAGCCUUAAAGAGAGGUGAGAAAACCCAUAGGUGGGAAAGACCGAGGGGCAAGGGAGAAAAAGAUUGGCCUUGGAAAGGUAUAACAGAGGCAGUGGUGGGCAGCUACCAUCUUCUUGUCCGCUGCUAGAGGAUAAAGGGAAGACCUGCAGAUGAGGAUAUACUGUUUCUCCUGACAUAAUGGGAAACCGCGGCAGAUGAUGGGUGGUGGUACACUCAUAACGUGGCCAGGAGCAGCGUGGUAGGCUGGGACAGCAGAGGAAUGCUGCCUUAUAUAUUAAAGGGAGGACAAGGUCAAUUGGGUUAGCAAACUGAGGUUGUCAGCAACUUGGAUAAAAUCUCUCUGGAUUGACACACCAGUCCCCAUUCAGUGUUUUCUUAUUCAGCCUGAGGUUGUCUGCUGCUGGACCACUAUGGUGACAGAUGCUGGAAGGAAUCGGAGGGGCUCUGAGGACAGGGGAAAAAACAGGUUUAACUUGCCCCAUGUAGGCAGCAUCCUUGAUAGCGUCAUGGAGGCAGACAGCCUGCUAAGGGGAAAAUACAGAAAUGGGGAAACUUCUUUAAAGAAGCUGAAACAGCUUUGCAGGUGACGGAGAGGCAUUUGACAGGUGAGGUUGAGUUUGUGGGGAAAACAGGAAGAUUUGCCACCUCUAGAAGCUUCCAUGUGAAAAAAUGAAAGGAGGCAAGUGAAAUCUUGAGGAACAAGUGUGUUUUACAAGGUUUCCCUGAUUUCAGCUACCAUAUAAAUAGGGAUGGUGCCCUCAUGAAGACACAUCCAUGACAGCAGCUACCUCUGGCUCAUGGUCCUCGGCCAGCAGGAGGAAGAAGGGGAUUAGGAUGCAAAUGAACAACACUUGCUAUUACUACCAAUAAAGAUGAGAGCUGGCUGCAAAUUCCUUCCACAACAAUGCUCCAUUUUAAGUGAGCACUAAGGAAUUAGGCAAUUUCCUUGGGGCUUUGUGCUUCAGUUGGUUUGGGACCAGCUCUUACACAAAUCUCAACUCAAAGUUUGCCUAUUAUUUUCCACUACUAGGCUCAGUGUGAGAAGAGGCACUUAUAAUCUGUGGGCACCAGCUAAUAAAUUUACCUGCACAGAAAGGUAAGGUGCUUUACCUGCACAAAGGGUCCUUAAGCAGGUGCCUGACUUAUUUUUUGCGUGGUUCUUCUGCACAGCCUCUGUCUGGUCUCUACAAUAAAUGCACAGCUGCCCAACUCCUGAGAAUGCUUAACAAGCUGUGAACAAGGUAAUAUUAUUCUCUGCGUCAUUCUUGUUUUCAGUAAAGCUGAAAUGAACUGAAAAGUGAGAUGACCCCAGUGCUGCAACAUUGCAGGGCUGCAAAACAACAACUCUUUCUUAUUUUUCCUAUCCAGUAACCUAAAAAUGGGGCUCAGUGGGCUCUGAAUCUCCCCAUCCUCUGCCAGCCUGGAUGGGGUUCAAGCCUUCUGGCUAGUGCCAGAAUCCCCAGAGGAUGCUGUGGCCUCAGGGCAGGAGCAGUGGGGAGGCUGCUCCCCAUCACCCCAUGAAGCCGAGCUGCCAUGCAGAAAGCAAUGCAAGAUUUAUGAAGCCAUGAGGAGAAAGAGCAAGGGACUCUUCAUGUAUUUUUCAUGGGCUGAACUGCAUAAAUAGCAUGCAAUGCAUAAACUGUGACUGGAUACUUCCACAAAAAAAAAAAAAAAAAAGGACCAGCAAGCAGAAGAAGAGAUGAAAGAAUGAGAUAGAUUUAUUCAAGUCAACGAAGCCUGUUGAAAGUCACCCUCAAGUGCAUUAAGAAGCAGCCAAAACAACACAAGCUGAUCCUGGGGUGAUUCAUCUUUGUUGACAUGAGGAGAGAGACAGACCUCGAGGACUGGAGAAGGGCACACGUUGUACCUGCUUGGUAAAAUGGAUGGGUGGGAGGAGAGAAACCACCUUAUCUGCAAUGCCUGGGAUGUGGUGUGGGACUUAGGGAGAUGUAGGACAAACUAUUGCACCAGCAGACAGGUUAGUGUGGGAAGUGGAUGACACUGAGGCACACAGAAACAGCUCAGAAUGAGGUAAGACCAGAAAAAGAGGGCUACACUGGGAAACUCAGUGCAGGGAUGAGUGCUGCAAAGGCACCGUUCCCUGUGGCAGUUCUCUCAGCAGGUACACGUGUGCUUCCAAGUGUGCAAUUUUAAUAAUGCGUCUGCUGCCAGAGCUCACACCUUGAUACAUGAAGACAAAGCAAUCCCACGCUGAGAUCAGGUAGGAAAUCGGAGCUGGCAUCAGGUAGGAAAUGGGAGCCAGAGCAGCAUGGCCAGCAAAAGGUUUUGCUCAUUUUGCAUCCCUGAGAGCAGAGCGGGGUGUGCUUAUAGUUAUUGCAUGGCAUGGGGUCUCCAGGGAAAAAAACCUUGGAGAAACAGGAAUUAAUUUUUGAUGCUCACUGAAGGUACCCAUUGUCUCUAUAAUAUGACUUCCAGUUGGAGCAUUUGGUGCAAUUCCUUUGGGACCCACUGGACAUUGGUGGCUGCAGGCCCCUGCAAUACAGUGACCUUUGAUACCCCGUUAACGUAGGGCUCAUUAUUUUCCUCCCAGUAAGUCCUGUGAGCCAGCUGUGGAGGAGAACAAGGUGCCCAUGCAAGUGAUUUUCUUACCCCAUCAUUUCCUCACCUCUAGCCGGGGUCAGCUCAGCUGUUCAUAGCAUCAGCUAUAAUAAUAUUGAGCAAAUUGAGUGUAAUAAAAGAAGAUGCUUUCUUACACUGACGUGAUGCUUUGAUAAUCUAUUAGCAGCUCUAACCAGGUUUUUUUGACUGCAAAACUCUCAGAGCUCCUCCAUAAAUGGCCAGUGGAUGCAUUUGUGCUGGUGAAGAUUACUUAUUUCUCUCACAGCUUAUUUUUUUAACUACAAAACCAAAAGAAAAAUCUGCCAAGCUGAAAAAAAAAAGCAGCAAAACUGUGAGAUAGGCUGCCUGCCGUUUUCUUGGUUUGCUCCCAAUGAAGGCCAUAUUUAUUACAAGAAAAUUGAAAUCCUAUUGAUUUCUCUUCUGAGGCACUGUGUUUCAAGCUUGACAUUUAAACAUGAAACUCCAGGCUCUAAAGUUUAAUCAUUUACUCCUGUAGAAAUAGAGUGUGUGGAGCCACUGAGAAAAAGGCCAUGCAAGGUAAAAAUAUUUCGUUGGGGAAAAAAAAAGAAGAUAGGGAAAUUACAUAUUCAUUUAAAAACAGAGGAUAGGGAACAGCCUCUCACAUCCAGUGGGCGAAAUGUUGCCAAAAUGGCAUCCUGUGGUCCCUUUCCAUGAGACACGUAGGAGCUCAGGACUUGCUUAGGGUUUGCUAAUGUCUUUCAAAUGGGAUAAGAUUCAUGGUACCAAUAUUGUAGGAGGAGGGGUAAGGAGGCAUAUACACAGGGAUGGAUAUGGAUGGAUAGAUGUGAAUUGAUGAAUAUAUAUAGAGAGAGAUGCAUGGAUAUUUAUGCACACACAUGCAGAAGCGCUGGAUAAUAAACUCAGUUUUAAUUAAGACAAGAAUUAGGGCAUGACUGAUAAAUGGUGAAUGGCAGCAAAUAGCCCAGGAGUGACGCUGGAUUUGGCUGAAAAGGGGUGUUUUAGGCCCAGCAGGGAGGAUAGAUGGAGAUCGCCAAGGUUUGGUACUGAGAAGGAUUUGGCCUUCAUUAAUGUUCCUGUCCUAGCGUGAAUUAAUGACUUGGGGGGAGGGGAGGAAUGCAGAAGAGAUGGAUGUUCUCACUAGUGUUAAAAUCCCACCAAGUUCCAUCCCACUGGGCAGUCCCCAGCCAUCAAAGCAGGGAAGGGAGGAUUGAAUGGGCUGGAUAAAGUGGCUAGGGACAUGCAUUUGGCAAGUGAUCAGGAGAAAUAAGGAGGAGGGGAGCCACAGGCAUGGCUUUCAUCCUGGCUUGGUCAUGGCUUUUGGGCUUGAAAGUCACUUGCAGACCUAAAGGUUGAUCCACGGUGCCCAGCUGGGAAAGGAAUAUGUUUAUUUGGCUUGGAAACAAUGGCUCUUUGAACGUGUUUAGUGUUUUGCACUGGAAAAACAGGUUUUCACAGCCAGGGUUUGUGAGCAACUGCAUGUGCACCAAGCCGUUCACAGGGACUGACUCACUCAGCACCUGCUAAAACCUGGUUUGGGUGACUUUAGGUCCUGAACAUGCCCAUGUGGAUCCUUACCUUGGCCCAGCAAGGGGAAAGGGAAGUGUGAGUGGCACCUUUUGAAACCCAGAAUUUGGAGAACAGGGCUGUAGAGCCAAAAUCACAAGUCUUUUUGUAGCAGCAACUACACAUAUUCCAGCAGAAAUCAAUAAAAUAAAAUUAAUAAAUAAAAUAAUUGUACGUCUUCUCUGUGAGGAAAGGUUGUUGGCUCUGGCACAGGCAAAGUUAGGAUGUCCCUCAGGAGGGCAGUGCUAGGGGUGCAGCGUCCCAAAUCAGCACGAAUAGUUGCUGGGCACAGAAAUCAGUGCUGUGAGAAUUCAUCCCUCUCCCAUUCCUAAGAGCUGUGCUUCAUUGCACUGCCCUCCCAGUCUAUGCAGCAGCCAGAGAGACACCGAAUCCUUGGCCCCUGAGGUUUGCAUCCCAGGCAGGGCUCCAGCCAGGAGCAAAGCUCUCACGCAUAAUCCAUCCCUCCCUAGCACCUUGAAAUUGUGAUUGCUUCAUCAGGGAAGGCAAUUAGCAUUCAAGUGCUGGUGUUAGCAUAAUCAGAAAGACAAAAGGCUGACAGCAAUAGCUGCAAAGCCAGGGCCCUGGUCAGAAAUGUAAUGGAGAAAUAAAUUAUGGCGAGAGAGCACGUUCAGAUCCAGACUUUCGCUGCAGAGGGCAUGGGGGCAGAAAAGAGCCCUGUCUCCUGCUAGUUUGUCAUCCACACUCCAGCGAUCCUCAUGUCCGAUAAACAGCCGAUAAGCAGCCCAGCUUCUUCAGCAAAGGAAGCAUUCCUGUAAUGAGUGGCUGAGAUCACCAGGUACCACCCAGGGAUACUGUGAGUCCUCUUGGCACUGCAUCCUAGUUCUUUAAAGCCAGACCUUUCCGUUCAAAAAAUCAGCUUAUUGCAACGUGCCAUUGUGAGUGUUGCCAUUGUGGUUUGGGAUAGAGGGGAUUUAAGGGCCCCAGGGCUUUGCAAGCUGCUGGUUGGGAAUGUGCACACCCCAGUACUGCUGAAAAGGGGGGAAAAAAACCCCACCAAACAUAAAACCUGAUCACUGGAAGCAGAUUUGGGUGUAAAAAUAAGACUAGAAAAAAACAGUUAAUUGUCCUGGUGACCCCUCCAUCCCUGUAAAUUUGGAAAGCCGAAGUACAGCUGAAUUUUGGGAAGGGAAGGACCAGGUUGUGGCCCCUUUCCAUGCAACCAUGGUGCUGCAGCAGGAGACCGUGUAACAUGGGCAAAAACUGCCAGGAAGCUGAGCACCAAGCUGAAAUGUCUCCAUCAGCCAUGGUGUUGUAUGGGCAUCUUGUCCCCAAAGAUGGCAGGGCAGAGUUUUGAUGGUGUAAGCUCUUUUUUCAAUAUUAUUCACCUACUCAAGAAGUGGAGGCAUCUUAUUGUCUAAAAGAAAGAUAAAGAGAAAGGUCGUUGUGCUCCAGGUUAUUUUUCACACUGCAGAACCAUCCCACUGAUAAAGUGGUGAGUUUGUAGAGGCUGAUAAAUCAGGAGUCAAAUGAAAAAUGCAGUGUUUUUUUUGUUUCCCCAGCCCUGUGAUUUGAUUUGAUCGGAAUUUUCAUUUGAAGCUGACCCUUAAGCAAACCCUUUUAUUUUUCCCAGAAGGUUUACCAUAAGGCACUGCAAAUUUCCCAGUUUUGAGAUGUGACAGCAUGGAGGGAGGCUAUAAAAAUGCAUAAGAGAAUAUUUUUUUUAAUUAUAAAACCUAUGUAUAAUAAAAAUAGAAUAAUAUAAAAUAUCUUAGAUAUAUUACAUAUAUGAUAGCCUUUAUCAAACCAAAGUUAAUGCUCUAAAAAUAUGAUCUUGUGCUUCCCCAAACAAGAGAAAGCAAAAGAAUCUCUCCAGAUGGGUCACACUGAGGACUUGUAUUUGUAUGUGCAGAAAGGGAACCGAACUUGUGCUAAUAAGCAGGUACUCAAUACGCCUUGAUGAGUGAAUGUAUUCAGUCUAUAGAGAGCAAAGCGUUUGCUGCAUCGAGAAUGGGAGAUGAUUCCCCUCCUGCGAAUUUGCCUAAGUACAGAAUAAACAUCUAUUUUCUUUCUGCUUUCCCCCUUUUUCUAAAGCCCAGCUGUCUGAUAAUGCAUAUAAUGAUGGUCCCUCCAGAGACCGAGCCUGAAUUCCCAUUCAUAUGCAAAAAUCAUGAGUGAGAAACUUUAGAUUUGGCCCAAAUAAUAUUAUGCACUUCUCCCAAUGAAGGAAGUUCCAGCUUGCCAUAUUUUUUCUGCUCAGCGCAUGCCAGAUGUCUUUAAAAAAAAGGGGGGGAUGGUUAUUCCUCUAUAUGGAGCUAGCAACAAGGGAAAGAUGCUUCUGGCACAUCCCUAAUGCAAUGCCUCCACACAGGAGCAUGGAGCAAGGGAAAGCUGGAGGCGGACAGGGGAAUCAUCUUGCUCGUAUGGCUGCACUGAACACCAAACCUCUCAUAAGUGUGUCAAGCUGACCCUGUGGAAGGCAACGACCAUAUCACAAAGGGAUGCAUUUAGGGAGCCCUUCAGAUAUUCUUAAAGAUAUAUGCCUUUUCCUUGUGGCCAUAGCCCAAGUGGUGUGUGCAAAGGAAAUGAGCUGAUGCCAUGUGGUCCAGCCUUAGAGAAUAUAAUCUGCCCAUCAUGGAAUAUUAAGGUAUCUUUAAAAAGUGCAGCAGCAGCUCCCCUCCCCUGGCAUCGCAGGGCAAGCAGUGCCCUGCAUGUGCUGGCCAGGUGAUAGCUGAUCUUCCUCUGACACGUUAAAGACAGCAGGAGAGAUGGCAGAAAACAAGGUCUGAAUAUGAUGGCAAAGGGGCUGAGUCAACUGGGUCAAUCAGGUAUUUCUGCAAAGCCAGCUCCCGAGUACUCUUUUUCAGGUGGACUGCUCAGUGCUCACACACCAGUCAGCACUAGGUCUCUGAAGCCCUGCCUCAAGUUGCUCUCCAAGAGCCUGUGAAAUGUUCACACUAUGGAGAGCAGAGGCUUAGGAAGCUCCUUUUAGGCUUCACCAAACCAUUUUGCUUUUAAUGGAGGCAUCUGGCAUGGUAAGAGGGACCUCACUGAGCAGAAAGAUGAGGCUGAUGCUUUGCAGUGAAGUUUUGCUGGAGUCAAAGAAUUAGAGCAGGUGCUGGGGCUCAUCCCUGGGUGGUGGGGAUGGGGAAUGAUCUCAUUUUGGGGGAAAACAGCUAUAAACAGCUGCAUUGUUACUAGAAAAAAAAACCCUCAAGUUGUUUCUCUUUUGGGAGGCUCAAGUAUCACUGCAGGGUUAUUCUAGGGGGCUAUGUGGGUCACAUAUGACAGGCAUGUAAUUUUUCAAGCUGAUUAUUUGGCUUGGGACCAUGUGCUUUGGAGAAAGGAAGGGAUUCAGGAGGAAGGCAGUCAAAUUCAUCCAUUUUUCUCUUUUCCCAAGAAAAAGAAAUGGUCAGAAGAGUAUUUCUUAACCACUAUCUCAAGAUGAAUCUGGGCUUCGCAGUGGUGAGGCAGUGGCCGUCUGUUAAGAGAGUUUAUGUCAGGGGUUUAUGCUGAGCCUCACAGCUGGUGCAGGUGCAUUUCCAGCCAUAAGAAGUAGUAACAAUCCCGGUGGAAACAUUCAGAUGCUGUAAGAGCAGACAGAAAUCUAUUAUCCAUGUGAAUGCAAUGUCAAUAUUUACAGAGAGAGGUCAAAGAACAGAGCUCUGCUCAGGAAAUGUCAGCUCUGGAGAAGGAGGAGGCACUAGCAGCAUUUGCAUUUGGGCUGGAGCAAUCCCUGCAAGGCUGAGUUAUACUUAGGAGGUUUUGUGACUUCAAGCCCUAUUCAACUCAUCUUCUUGUACCAUUGUAUUGUCUAUUGCAGCAGUUCUGGGCACAUCUGCAUGGCCUGGGAGCAAUGCUGGAUGCUUCCUCCUCCUUGGGGGAUACUAACGUGGAUGUGGGUGGUCAUCCAGCCAUGGUGGCUGCAGGCAGCUUUCCUUAUCUGCCAUUAGUAGGAGCUUUUACAGAGAGGCAAAGACAAGAGGAACAGAAAAAUGGUAUGAAGCAAAGCCUUAAGGUAGAGCUAGGUCCAUACCCGCUGCUGAAAACCCCCCAGCAGGAAGCCGACACGAGAACAUUCCUUGUGUAGAGGCUUCAUGGCAGCAGAGGGGCAGGAGCCAGAAACCCAAGAGUUUCUUAGAAGACUGCCUUUUGCUUUUGCACAGUGUCACAAAACACAAGCCCCGUGUAGCCAGGCAGGAGCCAUGUUUUACUCAGACCAGUUGAGGAGGUCUAAGCUAUAAAAACAUUGCUUAAUUUCCCUGCCAGGUAUCAAGGCAAGAAAUUACCAAAUUCUCAUUUUUUCUUUAAUGUGGAGGCAGCAUUAUGGAUUUAGAUAAAGAAUCUCAGAAUAUUUUUCUGCAAGCUUUUUGCUUGGGGUGAAAAGUGUUCAAAAUGUGUUUAAUCCCCAUUGCUCAGUGUAUUUAGCAAUUAUUAUUGGUAGUCCAGGAGUUCCCAGGCCCUCUUGAAUGAAGACCAAAGAGGAUUUGUGUGAGCAUGGAUGGUUCCUGCCUGGGAGAGGCAGGGAUCAGAAGCAUAGGCAAGAGCACAGCCUCAAAAACGGCUUUUUGCCGGCAUACCCAGUUGCUGCCCACGUAUGUUGCCCAUGGGAAUGACAGGAUCCCCAAGUGAUGCUUCCGGGUGAAAGAGAGCAGGGGAACAUCACUGUCCCACACAGCAGGUAUGUGGCUUCUGGGAGGAUUGGGUAUUUCCCCAUAAAAGCAUUUUUUCACAGGGAAGGAGGCUUGAGACAUCCCAGAAAAUAUGGAAAACUCCCAUGCAUUUGGCAAGUGGAAGAAAUGCCUCCUGCAAAAAGGUUGAAUUCCUUCCUCCCUCCUUGGACUGACUUCUUACCUGUAACUAUUUAUGUUCAAUUAAAACAUCAGGGACUGGUGGCCUAUGAGGAUGUGGGUUGUGCCAGGCUGAGAUCUUUCACUGGUUUUAAUAUGUACAUGGCCAAACAGAUGGGUAACCACUCAGUGAGACAGAGAAAGCAAUGUAAAUGAGCAACAGAAACCCCUUUCUGCUUGCCUAUGCACUGGUUGCUUUGCCCACAUUGGACUGGGCCCAAAGGCAGGAGAUUUAGGGAGCUGAAGAGGUUGAAAGUGGGAACUCCCCUGCCACAGAACUGAGUUCAGAGGAUGAGGCAGCCCUGUGAGGUGCAAAGACAUGCAGACAUGUCUCUGUCACAUAUGCCUGGAGUGGCAAAGGAGACCUCUGUGUUGUGGAGAAAGUAAUUUUGGACUUUCCAUCUCCCUUCUGAUUAAACAUUAUUGUAUUUGGGCAAGAUAUUUCGAAGCUGUUUCUCUGCUGGCCAUUUCUCUCGUAACAGUUUAAUUAAUGAAACAAAAUUUUUGGCAGGUUUAUGCCACUUGAUAUUUAAAGCGAGGUGAUACGAAUUUAUUCUGCAUGGGAUCUCAUGAUUUGCUCUGUCUGCAGUGUCAGACAGUUGUAAUUGAGUUAAUAUUAACGCUGAUUAGGAAAAAUAACACUAUGUCCCUACCACCUGAGCACCAGGAAGGAUAUCACCUUGGGCACGCAUGUGCGUGUGCCACUGGGGUUUCCUGCGGCCAACACAGUAUCCAGCGUCAUAUCUGUGAAAAUUAAGCUCCACCAGCAGUGCUCCUCGUUCCUAGACAGUCUGCAGGCGCCUGGCCUGUCUCCCAGCUUGCCCCACCCCCCUGGCAAAAGCAAAGUUUCUUUAGGUACCGUAAUUCCCACUCCCAUCUGGGAUUCCCUGUCCCGCCCCGCGGUGUCCUCCUGCCGCCGGCCGUGCCGCCGUGCCCGUCUGUAGCGCCAGGGGGCGAUGGUGCCGCCGUGCCGCUCCCGGGAAACCGGGACAAACCGACCCUCCCUGGGUCGGUGCCGAAACUGCUAGGAAAGUCCUCGGGACCCCUCGGGGGGUCUCCUCCCAGGGCCAGACCCCCGGCUCCCGGCGGGGCGCUCCUGCCAGGACCCGCGGGUGGCCUGCGGCAGCCGCCGCUCUGGCUCCGCCCGCCGGGAUUCUCGGGACUGCUGAUCGUCGGGACAGACAGACAGACGGAAGAGCCACUCGUGCCUGAAAGACCUCCCGUGGGGUGUGGAGCCCUGCGCUGUGCGUGGCUGGGGACUGCGCUGCCUUCCCUCAGCCAGAGACACCGCAGGGACUGCAGCUCCAGCUCGGUUGCAGCUUCGGGUCAGUGGUUUCAGCCCGCGUUUGUUUCAGGUCCAGCUCAUGGACAGCUCCAGUUCGUGGAUGGCUCCAGCUCAUUUCGGCUUCGGUUCAAUUUUGCCUUCAGCUCAUUCAGGGGCUCCCAUGUUUCUUCUCUGGUUUGUUUCAGGUCCAGCUCAUAGACUGCUCCGGUUAAUUUUGGCUCAGUUUGUCCACAGCUCCUCUUCAGCUCUCGUUCAUUUCAGCACCAGGUCGAGUUCAAUUCUGUGUGUUCAAAUGAUCUUGGCUUUUGAUAAGGUCGUAAAUCGCUGUCAAAAUUUGUAUAUGAAUACAAACUGUCAUAAUUGUGUAUGGACUAAUGAGUUAAUUACUAUUCCAGCUGUUAUACACACCUUGAAAAAACAGCUGAGAUGCAAA